UUUAACUAUUAUGGGUCAUGAAGACAAAAAGUCUCCACUUCGUUGUCCCUUCUCAUAUCAGCUUGCCACACUAUGUCUCAAAUUCUCGAGUAAGUUUUCACGUAAAACCUUCAUUUUCGACGAAUCUAAACUUCAGUUGCGCUCUCUAUCUCCAUUUUUCUGGACAAAAUUAAAUUCUCAGCUCACAAAAACACUCUAACCUCAAAUCUCCGUAGGAAACAGCAGAUCCAUCUUUCCUCUUUUUUCGCCCCACUAAUACCAAAACGUGCCGAUCAUCAGAGCAUCGCCGGGGUCGUUCAAGGCCAGUCGCCGGAGCUUCACGGAGCAAAGAAAGCCAUGAAAAGGCGAGAAAUGCUUGCUUUUCCGGCG
rnacentral:misc_RNA from 1 species